UGACUCACAGAUUCCCCAUGUGAGACUGAAUGUAAUACCAAUCUGCCAGCAACAUCACCACCACUGUCAUGUGAUGCUGUGGGGAGGAGCUUCAUGAACCUUCAAGAUGUUCAUUUCAAAAAGACAUCAGGAAAUUUUCAUUCAGAUAAAAACUAUUCAUCAUGUUCACUGCUAUAUUCAUUAUUCUGUGGAUGUCAUUAGGUGACUCCAUGGCAGAUUCAAUAAAGCCACCUUCUACUCAUAAAGCUGUAGAUGAAAGUGAAAAUGUGACUCUGUCCUGCAGCUACAAAACCAUUGAUCCAAACACCUACCUGCACUGGUACAGACAACAACCAAAAUCUAAUCCUGUGUUCCUUCUUCUCAUCAAUCCAAGUGGAUUUAAAACUAAGCCCAUGCCACCACGUCUGGAUGCUGAAGUUGAUAAAACUAAUAAACAAGUGGAUCUGAUCAUCUCCUCUGCUGCUGUAUCAGACUCUGCUCUAUACUACUGUGCUCUGGUGCCCACAGUGACAGGAAAUCCAGCUGCACUGUACAAAAACCUCUACACAGUUUAGUUAUUCUGCUAAACUACUUGUAUGCCUUUCAAUCCUCA